rnacentral:rRNA from 1 species
AUAUUAAUAAGGGGAGGAAAAGAAAAUAACAAUGAUUCCCUCAGUAACGGCGAGUGAAGCGGGAAGAGCUCAAUUUGAAAAUCGACUUCCCAAACGGGACGUCGAGUUGUAGCCUAUAGACGCACUAUCAGCUGGCAGUUGGGUAUAAGUUCAUUGGAAUGUGGCACGAUACAGGAUGAGAGUUCCGUAUACGGCCCAAAGCUGUCAGCGUACGAUGUGCGUUCAUCGAGUCGAGUUGUUUGGGAUUGCAGCUCUAAAUGGGAGGUAAGUUUCUUCUAAAGCUAAAUACUGGCGAGAGACCGAUAGCGCACAAGUA